GUGGGAUAAAAUUCAUUUCGAUAAGUUUCUCUUUCAAAACUCAUUCAAUGAAAACAUUUUUUGGCAGUUAUAAAUAUCUCAAAUGAUACUUUUAUCUGUUCCAGGUGAACUGUUUUGAAAUAGGACAGCAAGGGGUCAACAUAAGAGGACUGUAUCCUACAGCAUUCCUCAUGGCACACGACUGUGUACCAAAUACCAACCACACAGAUAAAAAUAUCAACUAUAGGCUCACUGUUCGUGCUUCCACGCACAUUUCGCCAGGAUAUCCAAUUACGAUGAGUUAUGCAUAUACACUGCAAAAUACUCUAAAAAGGCGUGAACACCUUUUUGA